GGGGAUAUAGCUCAGUGGUAGAGUGCCUGCCUGCCUAGCAUGCAUGUGGCCCUGGGUUCAAUUCCCAGCACCA
rnacentral:tRNA from 1 species